rnacentral:rRNA from 1 species
AUUGAACGCUAGCGGGAAGCUUUACACAUGCAAGUCGAACGAGUGGCGGACGGGUGAGUAAUAUAUCGGAAAGUGCCCGGUAGCGGGGGAUAACUACUCGAAACAGUAGCUAAUACCGCAUACUAUUGGAGCGACCGAGAUCGGAUUAGCUAGUUGGUGGGGUAAAGGCUCACCAAGGCAACGAUCCGUAGCUGGUUUGAGAGGAUGACCAGCCACACUGGGACUGAGACACGGCCCAUACGCCUACGGGAGGCAGCAGUGGGGAAUUUUGGACAAUGGGGGAAACCCUGAUUCAGCCAUCCCGCGUGUAUGAGAAGGCCUUCGGGUUGUAAAGUACUUUUGGCGGAGAAGCGGUAUCUGCAGAAGAAGCACCGGCUAACUACGUGCCAGCAGCCGCGGUAAUUC